ACGCUCGACACCUACGGGAGCAGCAGUGGGGAAUAUUGCACAAUGGGGGAAACCCUGAUGCAGCGACGCCGCGUGAGCGAAGAAGUAUUUCGGUAUGUAAAGCUCUAUCAGCAGGGAAGAAACUGACGGUACCUGACUAAGAAGCACCGGCUAAAUACGUGCCGCAGCCGCGGUAAUCUGAGCGGGCUGGCAAGGC
rnacentral:rRNA from 1 species